CCCUAUGGGGUGCACCACUGAAGGGCCUUGAGGUUGAGAUCGUACCAGUCGGUAAAGGAUCGGCCCGCCAGGAAGUUUCCUUGUGCGUAGGCAAAAAUUGAUGGUUUCGUAAAAACCCAAAAACACAUAACAUGAUGGAAUUAUUUUAAAUUAAGUAUUUUUCUCUUUUAUUAAAAGCGGGUUUAUGGUAGUAUUAUUCCGUCAUUUUAAAUAGUUAUCAGGAGUUGUGAUGAUACGAAUCAAAGACCACAAAACCCGCUACAUGUUCAACCCCUUUAGCGUUCUCGGGGAAAAGCGAAAAAAAUUAGUGGAAGACUCCUGGGCGGGAGUUUUCCGUGAUCAUAUCCGGCCAAUUCUUCCCGUGCAUCUGGUGGCCGAACAUUUCAGUGAAGAGAAGGGACGCCCGACCAAUGAAUUGGCGGGGGGGC
rnacentral:rRNA from 1 species